rnacentral:tRNA from 1 species
GGGGCUGUAGCUCAGUUGGGAGAGCACCUGCUUUGCAAGCAGGGGGUCAGGAGUUCGAUCCUCCUCAGCUCCACAA